rnacentral:rRNA from 1 species
UACAGAGGGUGCGAGCGUUGUUCGGAAUUAUUGGGCGUAAAGGGCGCGUAGGCGGUGCGGUAAGUCACCUGUGAAAUCUCCUGGCUCAACUGGGAGCUUGCAGGCGAAACUGCCGUGCUGGAGUGUGGGAGAGGUGAGUGGAAUUCCCGGUGUAGCGGUGAAAUGCGUAGAUAUCUGGAGGAACACCGGUGGCGAAGGCGGCAUCCUGGACCGGCAGUUGACGCUGAGGAGCGAAAGCCAGGGGAGCAAAGCGGG